AUGCGUGUAGCUCGGCAGGCACCCUACCGGACAACCUGCAGCACUGGGCCCGGCCUGUGCAACGCUGAAACCUGCACCACGACGUCAGCCUGCCAAACGCUGCUCACCCAAGUUACAGAACAGUCAGGACCUGACACUCAGAGCAUCUCCACCCAAGAAAUUUUGGAAUUAUCAGUGGAGCAUGGGGGACUGCUGGAAGUCGCCUCUCACAGCUGAUGAUCAUGCAACACGAAUGCAUACACCCACCACUCGUAGCCGAUUCACUUUUACACAAUGCCUUACUGCACAAGGUUAUAUGAAGCUCAGCAUUGUUAUUUCUCAGCACCAGUUUUGGAUCUUAUACUCACACAGCAAAAAAUUAAUUUGAAUAGAAUUUGUUAGCAAAUAGUUGCUUGGUAACACAUCUAGCAGUUGCAGGAGCAACAUUGCCAUUUAAUGGCACUCAUGAUUUUGGCAACAUAUUGAAAAUAAGUCAAAGUCACUUUUCUUUUAUCUCUAAUUUGGUCUCCACCAACUCCUGAGGGAAAUAUCUGCACAUCUUUAGCUGUUGUUGUGUUCACUAACUUAAUGAUGGUUCUGGUUGACCUCUUUCACAUUCAAGUAGUCCUGUGACCUAUUAUUAAAAUAGAUAUAUUGGUUAUUGCCUCCUUAAAAUGUUUGAUAACUACAUGGGAC
rnacentral:lncRNA from 1 species